AAGUCGUAACAAGGUUUCCGUAGGUGAACCUGCGGAAGGAUCAUUAAACGUAACAGUAAGCCUGUGAUGCCGGCUUUGCCCUAUGGUCGGGUAGAUGUCCGGAGGUUCACGCUUUAGCGGGUGUGUUAGCGGCCACAGAGGUGGGCGUUGUCGGGGCCGGAUGGCGAUGCACAGGGAUUGGCGUGCUGACCCUACCGGCAAAGGCUUCGUUCGCAGUACCCGGAAGGGCUACACUCUGGAAGGUAUGGGGGUUCCACGAAACUCCCUUCACGCGCACAUGACUGAAUCCUUAUUAUACUCGUACCUCUCGUUCUCCUUCGGUGGGGCAACCUGCCGUUGGAACUUUACAAACCCUUUUUUGCAUCUAGCGUUACCUGUUCUGAUACAAACAAUCGUUACAACUUUCAACAAUGGAUCUCUUGGCUCUG
rnacentral:misc_RNA from 1 species